rnacentral:misc_RNA from 1 species
GCAAACUUGGUCAUUUAGAGGAAGUAAAAGUCGUAACAAGGUUUCCGUAGGUGAACCUGCGGAAGGAUCAUUAAAGAGAAAACUGCCCUUUGGGUAGAUCUCCCACCCUUUGUUUACAAUACCUUCGUUGCUUUGGCAGGCCCGUCUUCUGACCACCGGCUCUUUGGCUGGUCCGUGCCUGCCAAGAGACCUCUAACUCUUGACUUGAUGUUGUCUGAGUCUUAUAUAAUAGUAAAAACUUUCAACAACGGAUCUCUAGGUUCUGGCAUCGAUGAAGAACGCAGC